rnacentral:rRNA from 1 species
GAUGAACGCUGGCGGCGUGCCUAAUACAUGCCAGUCGAGCGAACAGACGAGGAGCUUGCUCCUCUGACGUUAGCGGCGGACGGGUGAGUAACACGUGGAUAACCUACCUAUAAGACUGGGAUAACUUCGGGAAACCGGAGCUAAUACCGGAUAAUAUAUUGAACCGCAUGGUUCAAUAGGGAAAGACGGUUUUGCUGUCACUUAUAGAUGGAUCCGCGCCGCAUUAGCUAGUUGGUAAGGUAACGGCUUACCAAGGCAACGAUGCGUAGCCGACCUGAGAGGGUGAUCGGCCACACUGGAACUGAGACACGGUCCAGACUCCUACGGGAGGCAGCAGUAGGGAAUCUUCCGCAAUGGGCGAAAGCUUGACGGAGCAACGCCGCGUGAGUGAUGAAGGUCUUCGGAUCGUAAAACUCUGUUAUUAGGGAAGAACAAAUGUGUAAGUAACUAUGCACGUCUUGACGGUACCUAAUCAGAAAGCCACGGCUAACUACGUG